rnacentral:rRNA from 1 species
CCUACGGGUGGCAGCAGUGAGGAAUAUUGGUCAAUGGUCGGGAGACUGAACCAGCCAAGCCGCGUGAGGGAUGAAGGUACAGAGUAUCGUAAACCUCUUUUGUCAGGGAACAAAGGCGGGGACGCGUCCCCGGCUGAGUGUACCUGAAGAAAAAGCAUCGGCUAACUCCGUGCCAGCAGCCGCGGUAAUACGGAGGAUGCGAGCGUUAUCCGGAUUUAUUGGGUUUAAAGGGAGCGUAGGUGGAUUGUUAAGUCAGUUGUGAAAGUUUGCGGCUCAACCGUAAAAUUGCAGUUGAAACUGGCAGUCUUGAGUACAGUAGAGGUGGGCGGAAUUCGUGGUGUAGCGGUGAAAUGCUUAGAUAUCACGAAGAACUCCGAUUGCGAAGGCAGCUCACUGGACUGCAACUGACACUGAGGCUCGAAAGUGUGGGUAUCAAACAGGAUUAGAUACCCGUGUAGUC